CCAAAAACAAAAACUAAUCAUCUGAAAGAGCGGCAAUCUAAAAUUACAUUUUAGGUUGUUUAGCUCGUCAGAUGAUUAGUUUUUACCCUAAGUGGGUACCCACUUAG
rnacentral:ncRNA from 1 species